rnacentral:rRNA from 1 species
AGCUCCGCGAGCAUAUAUCAAUGUUGUUGCGGUUAAAAAGCUCGUAGUUGGAUCUCGUGCUUAGCCCCGGGUGCGCACUGUUGUGCGUCUACUCGGCGGCGGCACAAAAUUUAGUCAGUCGGGCAGCAGUGUCCUUUACUGGAUGCUGUUUGCUUACUGACGAGUUUACUUUGAACAAAUCAGAGUGCUCAAAACAAGCUUUCGCUUGUAUGUUUUUGCAUGGAAUAAUAGAAUAGGACUGUGGUUCUAUUUUGUUGGUUCAUGGGACCACGGUAAUGAUUAAAAGGAACAGACGGUGGCAUUCGUACUGCGACGUUAGAGGUGAAAUUCUUGGAUCGUCGCAAGACGGACUACUGCGAAGGCAUUUGUCAAGAAUGUUUUCA